UCCUGGGCCAUUAGCUCAGGUGGUUAGAGCGCACCCCUGAUAAGGGUGAGGUCCCUGGUUCAAGUCCAGGAUGGCCCAUUCGGUGUUGGGGGUUUAACGCAGUUGGUAGAGCGCCUGCUUUGCAAGCAGGAUGUCAGGAGUUCGAGUCUCCUAACCUCCACUGACCGAACUCAAUCUCCGGUUUUGCAUUGAAAGAUGGAGAACCACUCGAUUGUGAUGUGUGAUUUAGAUGUGUCCGCUGGAUGACCUCAGCUUCCUGUCAUUCCAAAUCGAAGUAAAUUAGUUUACUUGAACGAAUUUGGUUGAUAAGAUGCUGGGCUCGAGUUCAGUGAUCAAGAGAUUGGUCAUUGGAUUUGAAGUCUGGCAGAACCUUGACAACUGCAUAGGUAAGUCUGGAAAAACAAAGCAUCUUACAGAUGCAUUGUUUUGAAUCUGAUCUUCUGAAAGGGAGAUUGGAUCUAGAACAAUGAAAAUUCUUUUGAGCAAGAGCCGAGACUCUUGAGCGUUCUUUGAUUCGUGUCGAGCGAAUCAGAGUUUGAUCUUGUUUUAGGAAUCAGCGAAAGUUGAUGAUUAAACCUUGAGAAUCUGCUUUCAACGGCGGUAAGCGUUCAGGAGAUUAAUUGGUCAAGCUACAAAGGGCUCACGGCGGAUACCUUGGCACACAGAGGCGAUGAA
rnacentral:tRNA from 1 species